rnacentral:rRNA from 1 species
GACGGCAGACUUCCCCCAACCGGAGAGUCGCCGCUGCCCUCACACCUAUGGAAGCCUUGCAUUUCAGUCUAUCCCGCAUAGGCAACAUCGACAUGGUGCUGGGAUUUCGCCUUCACCGGUGAACACCAGCAGCCGCUCGCGCGGCUCACAGAUCAAACGUUGGUGGCUCGGUGAGGCGGUGACCCUCUACCGAGUUCAGAUAUGACCGGCCCCGCCGUGAAAGUGACGGGAACUGCCGCGUUCCGUAGGUGAACCUGCGGAAGGAUCAUUA